rnacentral:rRNA from 1 species
CAGCAUGCCGCGUGCAGGAAGACGGCCUACGGGUUGUAAACUGCUUUUGUACCGGAAUAAACCUUUCACGUGUGAGAAGCUGAAUGUACGGUAAGAAUAAGGAUCGGCUAACUCCGUGCCAGCAGCCGCGGUAAUACGGAGGAUCCAAGCGUUAUCCGGAUUUAUUGGGUUUAAAGGGUGCGUAGGUGGCCUAUUAAGUCAGGGGUGAAAGACGGUAGCUUAACUAUCGCAGUGCCUUUGAUACUGAUGGGCUUGAAUACACUUGAGGUAGGCGGAAUGUGACAAGUAGCGGUGAAAUGCAUAGAUAUGUCACAGAACACCAAUUGCGAAGGCAGCUUACUAAAGUGUUAUUGACACUGAGGCACGAAAGCGUGGGGAUCAAACAGGAUUAGAUACCCCGGUAGUCCUGGCCCUAAACGGUGCACGUUUGCUGUAAGAGGAAUCGACCCCUUUUGUGGCGAAGCUAACGCGUUAAACGUGCCGCCUGGGAAGUACGGCCGCAAGGUUAAAGCUCCAAAGAAAUUGACGGGGGCCUGCACAAGCGGUGGAGUAUGUGGCUUAAUUCGAUGCAACGCGAAGAACCUUACCUGGCUUGACAUGCACAUAGUAGAAGCCUGAAAGGGUGACGAGGUAGCAAUACCAGUGUGCACAGGUGCUGCAUGGCUGUCGUCAGCUCGUGUCGUGAGAUGUUGGGUUAAGUCCCGCAACGAGCG